rnacentral:rRNA from 1 species
CGGGGGGAGCAAGCGUUGUUCGGAUUUACUGGGCGUAAAGGGCGCGUAGGCGGCCUCUGCAAGUCGACUGUGAAAUCUCCGGGCUUAACCCGGAACGGUCAGCCGAUACUGCAGGGCUAGGGUGCAGAAGGGGCAACUGGAAUUCUCGGUGUAGCGGUGAAAUGCGUAGAUAUCGAGAGGAACACCUGCGGCGAAGGCGGGUUGCUGGGCUGACACUGACGCUGAGGCGCGAAAGCUAGGGGAGCGAACGGGAUUAGAUACCCCGGUAGUCCUAGCCUUAAACGAUGAAUGCUUGGUGUCUGGGGAUUUAUAGUCCCCGGGUGCCGUCGCUAACGCUUUAAGCAUUCCGCCUGGGGAGUACGGUCGCAAGACUG